ACAACCUCUCCCCUCCUCCCCGCACGACCCCUCUCGCCUCCUCCUCCCCGCACGUCUCUCGCCUCCUCCUCGAUCUCGCUCGCCCCAUCCUCCUCCUCCCGUGCCGUUCGCCUCCCCGUUGUUCUCGCAGCCUUGCGCCGCCGUUAGUCGCAGGAGCCACCCCGCCGCGCUCGGAGCCGCCUCCCAUAGCCGCCGUCGGUCCGCGCCCGGAGCCGCCUCCCGCAGCCGCCACCGGUCGCCGCGGCCGUCGCCCCGGGAGCCUCCCCGCCGGCCUUUUGCCGCCUGCCGCGGCCGCGCCCUUCGUCGCCGGUGGCCGCGCACAUUCUGCUGACUCCAAGACGAGGAGCCGGUGCAUCGACGCCAAUGCGGGAUCUGUUCGCCCUCCUCGCUCGCCGUUGACGCCGCCAUAGGCGGAGGUGCCGCUGCUCCACGGGAUCCGGCAAGGUCGUCUUCCAUCACGACAGCCCAUCACGGGUGCAGGUGACUGGGGCGUGGUAGUCGUCCCGAUCAUCUCUACUGUCCCCAUGCCAAGCGGUGGUCCUUCCCGGUGGCCCUUGCUCCUUCGCCAGCGCGCCUCCGCGCCGGGCCGCCGCCUCUGCUCCUCCGCCAGAGCCCUGCCGCGCCCGGUCGCAGCCUCGCGCGCCUCCGUGCCGGCCCUCCACGCCUCUCCGCGCACGCCGCAGACGGCCCUCCUCACCUCCCACGACACGCCCGAGGAGCUCAACUGACGACGACACCCAUCUCCUUUCAGGUGUCGGUUGGCCUGCAGGUCGUGUGGUCGGAGGUGCUUGUGUGGGCGGAGGUGCUCGUGCGGGAUGAAACUUUGGACGAUCUAUGUUCAUGUCAUUACUGUUUAUAAAUAUCUUCUGUUGUUCUAGAUGAUAGUCUUGACUUUUCUGGUGUUCAUGGCGGUAACUAAGGUAUAUCUAUGUUGUAGUCGACAAGGAGGCCUACCUAUGAUGCCCGUGCAGUUGAAAAUGUUUGCAAGGCAGCCUAUGAUGUCUGGUUGGAGGCCUACUUAUGAUGUCAGAUUGUUGUACACGGAAAUUUUGCGGGAUAGUUUGCAAAUUGGGAGUUUAUGUUUUUCUUAGUUAGCUUUUAAGAUUGUUGUAGUUAAAACAUGAGAUGGAAGCCUCAUAUUGAAUACUUAGCUAUGUUACAAAUUUAUAGUAGUGGCUAUCUUCUACAUCAGCCUGUGUUCAAAUAGUCUAUUUUGUAUGUUUGUUCACAGAAGUUGAUUAUCCUAGCAUACAACUACCCUCCGGUCGUGAAGCCUUAGAUUGAAUACAAAGCUAUGUUGCCAAUGAUCUCAUAACCUUGCCUGUCACAUUGCACCUAUGAUAUGAGGAGUACAACAAAUUUUACAAAUAGAACAUAUAUAAUUUGUGGUAGCAGAAUUACAUUUAGUACUGAAUAUUUGAUUAAUAAUCCUUACUCCGUAUGGAGCAAAGUCUACAACCGUUAUAUCUAAAGUAGUUUAACUUUGAUACUAGGCAGUGGGUAUGCUAAGCUUUGCCACUUUCUGAAGUGUGUUGAAAUAGGAGUUCCAGUUCUUGAUUUUUCAGGAAACUGAAGAAGAGCGUUUGAGGAAAGAGGAGAAGUGGGAGGCACAGGAAGAUAAGAAGGGGAGAAGGGAGGGGGGAAACGAGAAGUUGCUCAAGAAGAAUACUAGAAACGCCUUACCAGUAGGCUUUCGUUGCAAUGUUUUCAUUGAUUAUUGGAUGAGUCUUCCUCUUGAUUGUUUUUUUAGGUAAGUUCAUGAUCACAUUGAAAAUAUGUGAUGGAUACAUGGAGUUUUGUGGAUGACCUGAUUUAUUGGGCCUUUUUGAGAUUUUUGUUUGGAAUUAAUAUUCAGCACAACCAUUGCCAAAGUAUAUUGAUCAACAGAUCAACUUCUAAAUCAUUCAUCAUUUUCAA